rnacentral:rRNA from 1 species
CAUCAUGUAUGCUUUUCUAAUUAUAAUGGGGUGGGGAUGAGAGUAAAGUAAUAGUCUUUCACUCGGGCCAACCACCGGAGUGUACUUUGAGGGAAUUUAAAGUUGUUCAUAGCAAAUAAGUGGUUGAAUACUACAGCAUGGAAUAACAAAUAGGACUUUGGUAUGUUUGUGGAGUAGAGAAACCAAAGUAAAGAUGAAUAGGGACAGUUGGGGGCAUUGGAAUUGAUAGUCAGAGGUGAAAUUCAUGGAUUUAUCAAAGACCAACAAAGGCGAAAGCAUUUGCCAAGGAUGUUUUCAUUGAUCAAGAACGAAAGUCAGGGGAUCGAAGACGAUUAGAUACCGUCGUAGUCUUGACCGUAAACGAUGCCGACUUGGGGAGGUGCGAGAUGAGAAGCGGAUCUCAACCAAAGGAGAAAUCAAAGUGUAUGGGUUCUGGGGGGAGUAUAGUCGCAAGGCCGAAACUUGAAGGAAUUGACGGAAGGGCACCACCAGGAGUGGAGCCUGCGGCUUAAUUUGACUCAACACGGGAAAACUUACCAGGUCCGGACAUGAUGAGGAUUGACAGAUUGAGAGCACUUUUAAGAUUUCAUGGGAGGUGGUGCAUGGCCGUUCUUAGUUGGUGGAGUGAUUUGUCAGGUUAAUUCCGAUAACGAGCGAGACCCUGUGAUGACGGUAAUGAUUGAGUAUGUAAAUACGCGAGACGUUUCUUCAUCGACACCCCA